UAGGCUGUGGCUCAGUGGCAGAGUGCUUGCCUCGCAUGUGUGAGGCACUGGGUUUGAUUCUCAGCACCUUAU
rnacentral:tRNA from 1 species